AGACCCCAGGUCCUGCGGCCUACCACCAGACUGACGUGCAGGUGACCAAGUUCAAGGCUCCACAGUACACCAUGGCUGCCCGGGUGGAGCCUCCAGGGGACAAGACCCUCAAGCCAGGACCAGGGGCCCACAGUCCGGAGAAGGUGACCCUGACCAAGCCCUGCGCCCCUGUCGUCACCUUUGGCAUCAAACACUCCGACUACAUGACGCCCCUGGUGGUCGACGUGGAAUAGCCCCGGCCCCCACUGCACCUGUCACCCUCAGGCUCACAAAAAAAAAGUUCCACAAAAAGAAAUUCACUGGGCCACCACCGUGGAUCCCUGCAGGGCAGGGAACGCUUGUUUGGACAAUUGUAACCAGUUAUUUUUUCUAGGUUACUUUCCCAUUGUCUAAUCUUGUUUCCUGCUUGUGCUCAGAUUAUUUAAUAAAUCACAGGUUCCAUUAGUAA